AAGAUGUUUAUAAUAAAAGCUGCUAACUUAUUAUUCAAAUGACUAAAAUCAUUUACAUCUUA
rnacentral:tRNA from 1 species